CAGCGCCCCGAGUGGCAAUCGCGAUUAUUGGGCCUAAAGCGUCCGUAGCCUGUUUGAUAAGUCUUCUGUGAAAUUGUCGAGCUUAACUCGACAACGUGCAAGAGAUACUGUUAAACUUGGAACCGGGAGGAGUUAGAGGUAUUUUGAGGGGAGCGGUAAAAUGCUAUAAUCCUCGAAGGACCACCUAUGGCGAAGGCAUCUAACUAGAACGGAUUCGACGGUGAGGGACGAAAGCCAGGGGAUCAAACCGGAUUAGAUACCCGAGUAGUCC
rnacentral:rRNA from 1 species